AAAUAUUGAUUGAUUGAGAUAUUUCUCUCCCUAAAUUCUUUCUUUCUUUCUCUCUCUCUCUAAAUUCUCUCUCAUUCUUAAUUAGGCUCAUCAUCAUUUGGUAUCAAAGCAAAGAUCUUGAUCCUAUUUUCUCAGAUUCUAAGUAGUUCAUUAUCUAAUGCUACACUAUGAUACUCACAUACCUGAUUGGAAGCUUUAUUAUUGUUGAGUUACGAUCGAUUGAACCUACUAAUUUUUGAAGACCCAUCAAUUUCGCAGAACCCUGGAUUUCGAAAUUCAAACUGUUCUUGAUCAUCACCUUCGUGAGUCGAUAGCUAAAGGAAAUCGACAAUUUUGAAGCCCUAAUCGAAGACCUCAGUGGGAAUCGCCAAUUGCGAUGUCUAUUUUAUCAAUAUCGAUUGUACCUUCGAAGCCCUAAAAUACAACAAGUUCAAGUUUGACAUUUGGGGUUUCAUAGUUCGAAGCUUUGGCCUAUUCGAAGUCGUGAUCUGGAUUGGUAGUCAGUUUCGCUCGACGCCACAGAUCAAAUCUCCCUGGGCCUCUGGAAUUCUUCGCUAUUCGUCCCUAUUCGAGCAUCAAUUUCGAGUCGACUUCGCACAUUUGUGCGAUUCACUGGUGACUUCUGUUUGAGAGGAAAUUUUGGUCAAAGGGUUGGGCUUGUUUGGGAGGUUAGAAUUAAGCAUAGCUUGUUCUUGGGUCACGCAACUUCAAUUCUGGUAAAAGCUUGGUUGCUGGGUAAUGUCGACUCUCAUGUUACAGACUGUUGAACCAAUCUGGGUUAUUUAACUUGUGGGGAAAACACGAAGGUGGAUUUGUUUUAGUUCUAGCUUUAGAAAUGGUGGCAACGUUGGUGGCAGAGAAAGGGAAAAGAGAUAUGACAAAAGGCAAUCUUUCCAAUUGGCCCAUAGUUCUACUUUAAGACAACAAAGGUCCAAUUUGUUUGUUGGUUCACAAUUUGAUGCAAGAUGAGUUUAUGAUUGGUAGGAUAGAAAAGAAGAAAUAUUGUGUAUUUUGUAUUACAGAUUUCUUCAAAAACUACAUUAUUUCUUUGCCUUGUUAUAUUAUUUUUUUCAACGAUAA